GACGUAGGGCGUGAGCGUUGUCCGGAUUUAUUGGGCGUAAAGAGCUCGUAGGCGGCUUGUCGCGUCGAAUGUGAAAUCUCGGGGCUCAACUCCGAGCUUGCAUUCGAUACGGGCAGGCUAGAGUUCGGUAGGGGAGACUGGAAUUCCUGGUGUAGCGGUGAAAUGCGCAGAUAUCAGGAGGAACACCGGUGGCGAAGGCGGGUCUCUGGGCCGAUACUGACGCUGAGGAGCGAAAGCGUGGGGAGCGAACAGG
rnacentral:rRNA from 1 species